rnacentral:tRNA from 1 species
CAAAAAGUAGUAUAUAAAUUACGACUUGCUUACACUAAGUAAAAGGCCCAUAACCCUUUUUGA